rnacentral:tRNA from 1 species
AGGGGAAAGAAGUAUCUAAAAGAAGCCGCUAACUAUCUUUUAUAAGCGGUUAAACUCCGUUAUUCCCCUAU